CCUACGGGAGGCAGCAGUGAGGAAUAUUGGUCAAUGGACGAGAGUCUGAACCAGCCAAGUAGCGUGAAGGAUGACUGCCCUAUGGGUUGUAAACUUCUUUUAUACAGGAAUAAAACGAGGCACGUGUGCCUUUUUGCAUGUACUUUAUGAAUAAGGAUCGGCUAACUCCGUUCCAGCAGCCGCGGUAAUACGGAGGAUCCGAGCGUUAUCCGGCUUUAUUGGGUUUAAGGGGAGCGUAGAUGGGUUGUUAAGUCAGUUGUGACAGUUUGCGGCUCAACCGUAAAAUUGCAAUUGAUACUGGAAGGCUGGAGUACAGUUGAGGUAGGCGGAAUUCGUGGUGUAGCAGUGAAAUGCUUAGAUAUCACGAAGAACCCCGAUUGCGAAGGCAGCUUACUAAACUGUGACUGACAUUGAGGCUCGAAAGUGUGGGUAUCAAACAGGAUUAGAUACCCGGGUAGUC
rnacentral:rRNA from 1 species